rnacentral:rRNA from 1 species
AGCGAACGCUGGCGGCAGGCCUAACACAUGCAAGUCGAACGAACUCUUCGGAGUUAGUGGCGGACGGGUGAGUAACACGUGGGAACGUGCCUUUUGGUUCGGAAUAACUCAGGGAAACUUGUGCUAAUACCGAAUGUGCCCUUCGGGGGAAAGAUUUAUCGCCAUUAGAGCGGCCCGCGUCUGAUUAGCUAGUUGGUGAGGUAAUGGCUCACCAAGGCGACGAUCAGUAGCUGGUCUGAGAGGAUGAUCAGCCACAUUGGGACUGAGACACGGCCCAAACUCCUACGGGAGGCAGCAGUGGGGAAUCUUGCGCAAUGGGCGAAAGCCUGACGCAGCCAUGCCGCGUGAAUGAUGAAGGUCUUAGGAUUGUAAAAUUCUUUCAGUAGGGACGAUAAUGACGGUACCUACAGAAGAAGCCCCGGCUAACUUCGUGCCAGCAGCCGCGGUAAUACGAAGGGGGCUAGCGUUGCUCGGAAUUACUGGGCGUAAAGGGAGCGUAGGCGGACAUUUAAGUCAGGGGUGAAAUCCCGGGGCUCAACCUCGGAAUUGCCUUUGAUACUGGGUGUCUUGAGUAUGAGAGAGGUAUGUGGAACUCCGAGUGUANAGGUGAAAUUCGUAGAUAUUCGGAAGAACACCAGUGGCGAAGGCGACAUACUGGCUCAU